UGGGGAAUUUUGGACAAUGGGCGAAAGCCUGAUCCAGCAAUGCCGCGUGUGUGAAGAAGGCCUUCGGGUUGUAAAGCACUUUUGUCCGGAAAGAAAUGGCUCUGGUUAAUACCUGGGGUCGAUGACGGUACCGGAAGAAUAAGGACCGGCUAACUACGUGCCAGCAGCCGCGGUAAUACGUAGGGUCCAAGCGUUAAUCGGAAUUACUGGGCGUAAAGCGUGCGCAGGCGGUUGUGCAAGACCGAUGUGAAAUCCCCGAGCUUAACUUGGGAAUUGCAUUGGUGACUGCACGGCUAGAGUGUGUCAGAGGGGGGUAGAAUUCCACGUGUAGCAGUGAAAUGCGUAGAGAUGUGGAGGAAUACCGAUGGCGAAGGCAGCCCCCUGGGAUAACACUGACGCUCAUGCACGAAAGCGUGGGGAGCAAACAGGAUUAGAUACCCUGGUAGUCCACGCCCUAAACGAUGUCAACUAGUUGUUGGGGAUUCAUUUCCUUAGUAACGUAGCUAACGCGUGAAGUUUGACCGCCUGGGGAGUACGGUCGCAAGAUUAAAAACUCAAAAGGAUUUGACGGGGGCUGCAUU
rnacentral:rRNA from 1 species